AAAUGUUUCUGAGUAUAAAGUUGCAAUAACAAGUUUACUUUAUCGACAUCGUAUCACUACACUGUAUAUCCCUAUUUUCUAAAGGCAUUUGAGCAACUAAUUCACGUAAUUAGAAUCAUCGAUUUUAUUUCGCUAAUGCUUUUUUUUAAUUUAGCCUUAAGGAUACAAACUCUAUCAGCAGCAGCACAUGUGGCCUUUAACUCAUCGAAUGCGCCAUGCCUUACUACCUGUGAAACCUAUUCAUAACAUUGGAAAAUUUCACUUUCAAAUGGAAUUAGUGAAAAUGAUCGGAGUUGCGACUUAAUAAAAAACACGUGUUUUUACAGUGGCACAAUUCGAAUCGUCGUAGUAAGCGCCGAUUUAAUUUACCGUAAAUACUGCGUCGAUACUUUCUCCCCACUGAUCUCAAAUUAUAACUACGGCAAGUUUUUUGAAGCCAGUUUUGGCCUCCCAAGAUGGCGGCGUAUUUUGUUGAUUACAAAUUUAGAAAUAUUUGUUACGAACUUUUAUAUUUUUUUAAUAUGAAAAUAAAUGUACAAGCCUCAAACAAGAAUGAAAUUUUCGGUUUUACAAAGAAAUUGUUUUAGAAAGAAACACAAUAAAGGUUUAAGAAUUUUCCUGAAGUAAAAAACAGGAACUCCUUCAAUCAUCGAAGAUGAAGAAAAAAAAAAGACAGUCCGAGAGAUGUCCAGCACCUGUUUUCACCCUUGUAUGGUUGUUAAAUAUAGUAGUUUAUAAAUAAUGAUUAA